AUUGAACGCUGGCGGCAGGCUUAACACAUGCAAGUCGAGCGGAGCGGCGGACGGGAGAGUCAUGCCCGGGAAUCUGCCUGGUAGUGGGGGAUAACGUCCGGAACCGGGGGCUAAUACCGCAUACUAUCAGAUGAGCCUAGGUCGGAUUCGCUAGUUGGUGGGGUAAAGGCCUACCAAGGCGACGAUCCGUAACUGGGCUGAGGGGAUGGUCAGGCCCACUGGAACUGAGACACGGUCCAGACUCCUACGGGAGGCAGCAGUGGGGAAUAGUGGACUAUGGGCGGAAGCCUGAUCCAGCCAUGCCGCGUGUGUGAAGAAGGUCGUCGGAUUGUAAAGCACUUUAAGUUGGGAGGCGUUACCAACAGAAUAAGCACCGGCUAACUUCGUGCCAGCCGCCGCGGUAAUAC
rnacentral:rRNA from 1 species